rnacentral:misc_RNA from 1 species
UAAUAAAUUUUUUUAUGGCACUUUUUAAAAAUCCAUAUCCACCUUGUGUGCAGUGUUAGAUCUCGUCAAUCUUGGCGAGAUUUUUAUACAUCAACUCAUUCUUUAAUUAAUUUGUCUGAAAAAUAUUAUGAAUAACUUAAUUCAAAAUA